rnacentral:lncRNA from 1 species
GCUUGCCUGAAGCUGACCUUGCUCCAGUCUCCUUGCAGACUGGAGUUAGGGCAGCUGUGCCUGUCCCCUGUGGCCAGGCUGCGACUGUGAUGCAAGCUCCUUGACAGCAAGAAGCUCCCGAAGCUAUUCUGGUGGUCACUACAUCGGCUCCAGGACCCCAGGGGGGACAGCGCUCUCCUUGAUGAGAAGGGGUUUCCCGUAGAAGGGAGAGCUGUCGUGGUGAGAAAGUCUCUUGGAUUCUCCAGUGACGAAGCUGUGAUCGCAGACCAGAGACAGGGAAAACUUGACAUUUGGAGAACAGCCGGGGCAGGAGCUAUCCCCUGAGCUCCACGUGUAAGAGAAAAGACUGGACCCGGAUUCCAGGGAUUUGGAGUUGGCGAUCACCUCGAAGUGGCAGUGCUGGGAGCUGGGGAAGCCUGAGAAAGUCAUGCUUUACAGUGGCCACCCGUACAAUUUGUCAGCCACCAUUCUGAGGUACACUGGACUCCGGUUAUGACGGUGAUGAAAUGUGCAUAACAGAAUGUGCAUCCUCCACCCACCCACCUUUGGCAGCUGUCACUCCUUUCUGUCGCGAGUUUGACUGUUCCCAGACCUCACGUAUGAAAAGAAACAUGCUAUACAGAGCAAGCUGGGACCAAGAAAAAGCAGAAAAGGAAGUACCCUCUGCAGUUUAAGCAUGGACUUUUGUGAAGAACACAGUUGCAAAGAGCCCAGUGGAGACCUGCCCACACUGCAGGCUGCCGUCAGGUCAAGGCUGUCCUGUAAGUCCACGUGCAAAGCCUGAGAGUGUACCGCGAGGGUCCUGGGAGUUUGUAAGUAACAGGUCCGUAUUUCCCCAGCCAGCUUUGCCACACCCUAGUCUCCUACCUCAGUUUCUCGCUGUGGUUUUGAUUUGCAUUUCCCCAGUGAUUAGUGACGUUGAACGGCUUUGCUACGUUCACUAGCCAAUUGUG